UGAAGUUUUCGGAUGGAUACACUUAGUGGCGGACGGGUGAGUAACGCGUGGGUACCUGCCUCACACUGGGGGAUAACAGUUAGAAAUAGCUGCUAAUACCGCAUAAGUCCGCAUGGAAAAAACUCCGGUGGUGUGAGAUGGACCCGCGUCUGAUUAGCCAGUUGGCGGGGUAACGGCCCACCAAAGCGACGAUCAGUAGCCGGCCUGAGAGGGUGAACGGCCACAUUGGGACUGAGACACGGCCCAAACUCCUACGGGAGGCAGCAGUGGGGAAUAUUGCACAAUGGGGGAAACCCUGAUGCAGCGACGCCGCGUGAGUGAAGAAGUAUUUCGGUAUGUAAAGCUCUAUCAGCAGGGAAGAAGUGACGGUACCUGAAUAAGAAGCCCCGGCUAACUACGUGCCAGCAGCCGCGGUAAUACGUAGGGGGCAAGCGUUAUCCGGAUUUACUGGGUGUAAAGGGAGCGUAGACGGCAAGGCAAGUCUGAAGUGAAAGCCCGGUGCUUAACGCCGGGACUGCUUUGGAAACUGUUUAGCUGGAGUGCCGGAGAGGUAAGCGGAAUUCCUAGUGUAGCGGUGAAAUGCGUAGAUAUUAGGAAGAACACCAGUGGCGAAGGC
rnacentral:rRNA from 1 species